GAUGAAGAACGCAGUGAAAUGCGAUAAGUAAUGUGAAUUGCAGAAUUCAGUGAAUCAUCGAAUCUUUGAACGCACAUUGCGCCCGCCAGCAUUCUGGCGGGCAUGCCUGUUCGAGCGUCAUUUCAACCCUCGACUUCCCUUUGGGGAAAUCGGCGUUGGGGACCGGCUGUAUACCGCCGGCCCCGAAAUGAAGUGGCGGCCCGUCCGCGGCGACCUCUGCGUAGUAAUCCAACUCGCACCGGAACCCCGACGUGGCCACGCCGUAAAACCCCCGACUUCUGAACGUUGACCUCGGAUCAGGUAGGAAUACCCGCUGAACUUAAGCAUAUCAAUAAGCGGAGGA
rnacentral:misc_RNA from 1 species